AUUGAACGCUGGCGGCAUGCCUAACACAUGCAAGUCGAACGGCAGCACAGUGUGUAGCAAUACACAUGGGUGGCGAGUGGCGGACGGGUGAGGAAUACAUAGGAAUCUGCCUUGUAGCGGGGGAUAGUCCGGGGAAACUCGGGGUAAUACCGCAUACGACCUACGGGUGAAAGAGGGGGAUCGAAAGACCUCUCACUAUAAGAUGAGCCUAUGUCGGAUUAGCAGUUGGUGGGGUAAAGGCCUACCAAGGCGACGAUCCGUAGCUGGUCUGAGAGGACGACCAGCCACAUCGGAACUGAGACACGGUCCGAACUCCUACGGGAGGCAGCAGUGGGGAAUAUUGGACAAUGGGCGAAAGCCUGAUCCAGCAAUGCCGCGUGUGUGAAGAAGGCC
rnacentral:rRNA from 1 species